AUGGUACACAUCCGGGAUACUGGAGCUACAUUCAAAACCACUUCGGUGUAUGGUCCCACUGACUCGGCGCGCAAGGAUGCCUUUUUUGCGGAGCUCCUUAGCCACAAGCCGCUGCCGGGAGUCGCCUGGUUGGCCUCAGGCGACUUCAAUCAAAUUUAUCGUGCUAGGGACAAAAAUAAGAGAAACGUGAACACAAGUAGGAUCAACCGCUUCCGUGCGACGCUGCAGUCUUGUGAGCUUAAGGAAAUCCAUCUUCAGAACAGGCGCUUCACCUGGAGUAACGAGCGAUCCAAUCCAACCAUGUGCAAGCUAGACUCCUUCUUCUGCAAUGCAGAGUGG
rnacentral:rRNA from 1 species